ensembl:lncRNA
UGAGUUGGAAGAAAAAAAAAGACAAACAUGAUUGAUACCUACUCACAAUAUUCAUCUAAAACUUCACAUUCUCCAUUCUUCCCCUUCUGUAGCAUACACUCCUUCAGAUCAACAGAGAAACUAUUAUAAGAAAUUCUGACUCUCUUUGUUUCUUUCACAAAUAAUGUGGCAUAACUUUUGUAUAUUGCACUUUAUGAGAUGCCAAGAUGUUUGGUUUUCAUUUUAUCUCUGAAAUAAGCAUUUUAAAAAUCUUUAAAAGGCUUUCUCUUUGUAUUCCCUUCCUUUGGGAAAUAAGAUAAAAAUACAUUAACCAUAGCAGCCAAUAAAAUAUUAUUCAGUUAUUUAUUCAUUUACUCAUCAAUAUUGUUGAGUAUCUACCUCAUGCCACAUACUGUCUCAGGUACCAGAAUAUGGUUGUGAACUGUGAAAUGCUCUAAACCACAGCUUGUACCAGUGUCCCAAGAUUUAAGCCCUUCAAUUUCAACAGCAGUGCAAGAUGAAGGGCCUUUCAUUGACUUAAAAAAAGCACUAAGAUGUGCCAUUCAGAGACGCAAGAAGCAUUUCUGGGUAUUGGUUUCAUUUACUUUUUUUCUUGAAGGUUAAAGCUAUGCAGGAUAGAGAGGUAAAAUAUAAACAAAGGGUAGUAUAUGAAUAAAUACAUACAUAAAUAUUUAAUUGAGGGUAAAAUCUAGAUUUUAUUAAUUAAGAUUUCUGUAGUAAAAACUCUUGAUUCUUCCUCAUGUCUAAAUAGUUGCAAAGCAAAUAAAUAUUAGCCAUCCACAUGUGAUAUCAUGAUAAUCAGUCUUUAAGUUCUGCUUUUUUUGGUCCUUAGGCAUAUGAACCUAUUUAAUUUUUCAGAGUUAAGGUUACAAGUAAGGUAUAAUUCAAUAUCCAUAAAAUGUACAUUUGCUACAUAUUGGUAUGUAAGUAUGUUUGAGUAGAAAGAGAGAUGCAUCAUAAUUUCUGCAGUGCAGAUGGUCACAGGGGUAACAGGAUUCAAAGAGGGCCAAAGGACAUUGUAGUAGGUUGUAUAUUCUCAGAAUUAUCUACUGCCCUUACCUACUGGCACUUCCCUGCUAGAGCAUUAUACUUUUCUGUCCCAUCACUGUCAGGUUUAGCAUGGGAUUUAUUUUGGUCAAUAUAAAGUGUUGAAAAUGAUGUGAAUCAUUUACUAACUGAAGCUUGUUAAAGAGCAUUCCAUAUUACUCUUUUCCCUCUGUUCUGAGACUCUAUGUUUCAAUUAGCUGAUGCUCCUUCAACAUGGGUCUUUCAAUGAAAAGGAUAUUGAAUAGAGCUGUAGCCAACCCCCACAUGGUAAAAUAAGCAAUGUGAGCAAAAGUUAAGUAUUUGUUUGAAGUUACUGAAAAUUUUUUUGUUACUUCACAUAACUUAAUCUAACCUAGAGUUUACAGACACCUGUAAUAGCUGAUAUUGAAUAGUUUCUGUGGGCCAAUAACGAUGUCUAUUAAUUCUACACUUAUCUCAUAUGAUUUUUGCAAUAAUCCCAUGGGAUAGAAAUGAUCACAUUACCAUUCACAACUGAGAAAACAGCAGCUCAUCAAAUUGGCUUAGGGUCGACUAACUAAUAAGAUAUAUGGAAUAUGAAUAGGAUCAUAAGUCUGGCAAAUUUCUAAGUUUCACCCACAGAGUCCUGUCUCAUAGAACUUUAGAAUUAAAUAUAUAUAGUGCAAUAUAUUCAUUUUACAGAAGAAUAGUUUCAGGUCCUCUGUUGUCAUCUGUAAUCCUACUAGCUGGAUAUAAAGCUGAAAGUGAAACCAUUAAUUUCUGUGAACUAGAAAUCAAACCUAUAAUCUCACAGUCUAGUAGUUCUGUAUGUGUCUACACAUACAUAUGUAAAACUAUAACUUUGUAAAUAUAGAAUAUAGAGUACCUAUACAUUUAUGUCUCUUUGAUAUUAGAACAAAAAGCCUUAUGAUUAAGAAUUAAUUUGUAAUGUAUUUUUACCAAUGUAAUUGUGUGGUACCUGACUAAAUAAUGAAAAUAUUUUUAGUAAUUAUUUUAUAUCCUAUAACUAUAGAGUAAUUUUGAUUUAUAUUUUACAGAUUCUUGAUUAUGCUGUAGUAUCACUUACUAUGAAUUUCCUUUUACUUGGAGUAGAAAAAUAUAAAUAGUAUUCUCCUAUUUCUUAAAAAGACUUGAAAUUUGAUCCUUUAUUUCUUGCUUACUUUGCCAGUAAAAUAGACAUUCUAUUUUCCUCUAGUUAAAAAAAAGUUAUACCAUAUUUAGAGUAGUUUACCUUUAUUAGAUGAAAUAUACACAUCCAAUUUUUCUAAGUUAGAAAUAUGUACUUAAAAAGUUAAAAAUUUCAUUUAUAAAAUCUAGCAUGAGCAAACCAUGUAAAUAUAUAAAUGUACCAUAAAGCCUAUUAAUAGGCAUUUUGUUUACAUAUUUUUAUCUCAAUUAUCUAUGCCCAUAGGACUCCUUCAAUCAAUUUUUCACUAAGUAGUUUUCAAAUAUAAUUACUCUUAUGGGUAGGCCUAUGAACAGCAGUGUCAUUUACACUAUAGUUCACUAAUUGCACUUCGAAGCCAUUAUAAUGAAUUAUAACAGUACAUUCUUCAAGAAGAUCAGUUAAUGCUAAUCAUUUGUAUCACAUAUAUCACUUAGAAGAUAUCCAUCCAUAAAAAUCUUUCAUUUACAGCCUCAUUUCUUUUUAAUUCUCUUGUAAUGCAAGUUAUAGCUGUAAAUAUAUAUACAGCAUGUGCUUUCUUUACCUGUUAGCCUGUGAACUUUGAUUUUGAAUUAAGUAUUGAAAUCUAGAGAGAAGUAAUAUGCUAUGAUAGGAGCACAAUCAUUUACUUUGAGAUCCUAUGUAUUAAUUAUUCUUACAUAAUUGCUAUAUAUAGUGAUCUACAUUUGGAUCAGAUUUUAAGAGCUUAAAUAAAAUAUCAUCUCUCCUAAAUUUUAAAAAUCGUUUUCCUCGAUCUUCCCAGAUUUUUGCAAUAUUUUCCGUAUUCAAGAAGGUGUCUCUAAGUUAAAAGUAAGUCAAAAGAAGGUUUUUGUUUUUGAACCUACACAUAAUAGGAAUCUAGCCAAAAUGUACACUAGAUUGUAAGCAUGUUGUCUUAUGGUAAAAUAAUGAUAAAAUAAUUUUGUAGACCCAGUAUCAUGACAGAAUAUGACAUAGAUACAUUGACAAAAAUGUUGAAAAAAGCUCCUUUAAAAUAUUACUUCUUUGUAAAAUGUACCCAUUAAGUGGUGUUUUUAUAAUUGUUGUAGAAAUUAAGAUUCUUGGAAAAAAUUCUUUUUGUUUUCACAUAUAUUGCAUGGAAAAGUUUAACUUCAACAUUGUAGAAGCUGAUUAAUUAUGAAGUACUGAUUUUUUAUUCAAAACAAUAUUUUUUUAAGAAAUAAUAUAAUUUCUUAAGGAAAGAAAAUUUAUGUUGCCAGUUGUCAUCAAAAUUUAAAUUUCUGACCUCAAUUUGAGAAAUCAGGAGUGGAAGAGAAAAGAAGAUGGCUUUGGUGAGACUUUAUGAGAUAAGAGUGAAAGCUGAUGAUAACAUAUGGCUGAUACAAUGUAAAGUUCAGAUUCCAGACAAACUUGUAUUUAAUCCUGCCCCAAAUAAUGCUAUUGUCCCCAUUUUAUGUAUAGUGAAACUAACUAAGCCUCAUAGAAGCAACUUGCCUAUUAUGACAGUGUCAUUAAGUGAUAGCACUGGAUUUUAAAACCAUUAGUUCUACUACAGAAUUAUAACCUCUGUAUUAUACUGAAUUUGGCAUGUGAUUGAAUAUUAAGAUAGGGCUAUAGCAGGUUGUAGUACAAAGCUUACUAGCAAAUCUUUGUUUUGCUAUAUAGCAUUUUACCAAUAUACAGAGUCAUGUGUUUGUGUUUGCCUGAUAUUUGUUAUACUUAUACAGAGGGAAUGGACCAUUGUCCUUUAUUUACUCUUAUAAAAUUCCCAGAACUAAGAAAAUAUCUAGCAGUGUUGUCUCUAAGUAUCUUAUCCUUUCAAGAAAAACUAACACACUAAAGUGUUACUUUCCAGUCGAUAUGCUUGAUCAUACAGUAAUAUCUCACUUUAGAAUAUGGCAAACAUGGAUUUAAACCAUAUUAGUUUCCCCAAAACAUCUUAUUCUAGUAAAAGCCCAAUAGUAGCAGUUCUGUCUCUUAAUAUUAGCAUUAUAUUUCAUUCUCUUGCAUUUCUGUUGCUACCACCGUAUUUUUUAAAAUGAUGGUAUUUAGCAUACAUAUAUGUUGAGUUAGUUUGGUUUGGUUUUGUUAGAAAUUCAAAGAACUAUUUUAUUUAGCAUUUAAAUUGAAUACUGGACAUAGAAGUCAUGAUUUCAAUUUCCAAAAAUGCAAUAACAGGGACACUGGAUUAACUUAACUUAAGCAUUAGAAAAAUAUAUAAAGCAAUGGUUUUCAAAUUUGGGGCAGCAAACAUCACAGGAGAAUGAUUCUUGAGGGAAGUGGAACAUGAAAAAUGGACAUGAAUGACAGAAGAGGAACAUGAAAGGUUGCAGCCCAGGUAAGGGAAAUCCAAAGAGCCUCCUGGUUUUUCUGAGUUGAGAAGACAGAAUUUAGGGUUGGGGCGACCAAGACAGCUAGAACUGGUUGGACAGAUUAUGGAAGAAAAGGAAAUAUACUGAGAAGUCCCCUUCAGUUUUUGGCUGAGUACUGAUCUAUGUAGGUAGGUGAGAAUAAUACCUGAGGCCAGAGAAAGAACUACUAGGAAGGAGUAGAGAGAACACUUUUGAGAGUUCACUAGGUCUGGGAAUAGCCUGCAUACCUUAGCCCAAAUGGAAAGAAGCCUAACACGUGACGCAUUGAGUAGAGUCCUCAGAAUGGUAUUGCCUUAAUAGUGGGUCCAACUUGACCCUAAACUAAUGGCUUCCCAGGACCCAAUCCUAAAUAAAACUGAAAAACAAAACUCAAGAGUCAAACUGAUUCUAAAUAACUAUGUCCUAGAUCAAAGCCCAAAUAUAUUUAAAGGAAUACAUAAAGUCUAGCAUCCAGAAGAGUAAUAUUCAAAAUGUCAUACUUCUGGUGGAAAAUUAUUAAGCAUGCAAAGGAAUAGGAAAUAAUGACCCAUAGCUGGGAGAAAAUUAAUCAACAGAAACAGAUCCAGAAAUUAUAGGGACGGUAGAAUUAGCAGGCAAGGAUUUUAAAACAGUUUUUAUAAAUAAUACCUAUAUGUUCAAAACGGUAGAGGAAAGCAUGAACAUGACAGAGAAAAGGCUGAUAUAAAAAGACCCACAUUUUUCUAUAGCAUUUGAAAUGAAAAAUACACUGACAGGAAUUAACAGUAGAUUAGACGCUAGAAAAGAAAGAUCAAUUAACUUGAAAAUAUAGCAGUAUAAACUAUCUAAAAUGAAACAC